rnacentral:rRNA from 1 species
AGUGAACGCUGGCGGUAGGCCUAACACAUGCAAGUCGAACGGCAGCACAGUAAGAGCUUGCUCUUACGGGUGGCGAGUGGCGGACGGGUGAGGAAUACAUCGGGAUCUACUUUUUCGUGGGGGAUAACGUAGGGAAACUUACGCUAAUACCGCAUACGACCUACGUGUGAAAGCAGGGGAUCUUCGUACCUUGCGCGAUUGAAUGAGCCGAUGUCGGAUUAGCUAGUUGGCGGGGUAAAGGCCCACCAAGGCGACGAUCCGUAGCUGGUCUGGGAGGAUGAUCAGCCAUACUGGAACUGAGACACGGUCCAGACUCCUACGGGAGGCAGCAGUGGGGAAUAUUGGACAAUGGGCGCAAGCCUGAUCCAGCCAUACCGCGUGGGUGAAGAAGGCCUUCGGGUUGUAAAGCCCUUUUGUUGGGAAAGAAAAGCAGCAGGUUAAUAACCCGAUGUUCUGACGGUACCCAAAGAAUAAGCACCGGCUAACUUCGUG